rnacentral:rRNA from 1 species
CUACGGGUGGCUCCAGUGGGGAAUAUUGCACAAUGGAGGAAACUCUGAUGCAGCAACGCCGCGUGGAGGAUGACACUUUUCGGAGCGUAAACUCCUUUUAUAUAGGAAGAAGAUGACGGUACUAUAUGAAUAAGCGCCGGCUAACUCCGUGCCAGCAGCCGCGGUAAUACGGAGGGCGCAAGCGUUACUCGGAAUCACUGGGCGUAAAGGGCGUGUAGGCGGAUUAAAAAGUCAGAAGUGAAAUCCUAUAGCUUAACUAUAGAACUGCUUCUGAAACUCUUAAUCUAGAAUAUGGGAGAGGUAGAUGGAAUUCCUGGUGUAGGGGUAAAAUCCGUAGAGAUCAGAAGGAAUACCGAUUGCGAAGGCGAUCUACUAGAACAUUAUUGACGCUGAGACGCGAAAGCGUGGGGAGCAAACAGGAUUAGAUACCCUCGUAGUC